rnacentral:tRNA from 1 species
GGAAAGAUGUCCGAGUGGCUUAAGGAGCACGCUUGGAAAGCGUGUGUGGGUGAAAGCUCACCGUGGGUUCGAAUCCCACUCUUUCCGCCA